rnacentral:rRNA from 1 species
AACGAACGCUGGCGGCAGGCUUAACACAUGCAAGUCGAACGCAUCCUUCGGGGUGAGUGGCAGACGGGUGAGUAACGCGUGGGAACGUGCCCUUCAGUUCGGGAUAACCCAGGGAAACUUGGGCUAAUACCGGAUACGUGCGAGAGCAGAAAGAUUUUUCGCUGAAGGAUCGGCCCGCGUCUGAUUAGCUAGUUGGUGGGGUAAUGGCCCACCAAGGCGACGAUCAGUAGCUGGUCGGCGAGGAUGAUCAGCCACAGUGGGACUGAGACACGGGCCAAACGCCUACGGGAGGCAGCAGUGGGGAAUAUUGGACAAUGGGCGCAAGCCUGAUCCAGCCAUGCCGCGUGAGUGAUGAAGGCCUUAGGGUUGUAAAGCUCUUUCGUCCGGGACGAUAAUGACGGUACCGGAAGAAGAAGCCCCGGCUAACUUCGUGCCAGCAGCCGCCGUAA